GACGAACGCUGGCGGCGUGCUUAACACAUGCAAGUCGAACGGAGUGGCGAACGGGUGAGUAACACGUGGGUGACCUGCCUUGCACUUCGGGAUAAGCUUGGGAAACUGGGUCUAAUACCGGAUAGUGCAAGAUGAGCUCGCGGCCUAUCGGCUUGUUGGUGGGGUAAUGGCCUACCAAGGCGUCGAAGGGUAGCCGGCCUGAGUGGGUGUACGGCCACAUUGGUGCUGAGGUACGGCGCAGACUCCUACGGGAGGCAGCAGUGGUGAAUAGUGCACAACGGGCGGAAGGCUGAUGCAGCAACGCCGCGUGGGGGAUGAAGGCCUUCGGGUUGUAAACUCCUUUCGACAGUGACGCGGUACCUGUAUAAGAAGCACCGGCUAACUACGUGCCAGCCGCCGCGGUAAUUC
rnacentral:rRNA from 1 species